rnacentral:rRNA from 1 species
AUUGAACGCUGGCGGCAGGCCUAACACAUGCAAGUCGAGCGACCGGCGGACGGGUGAGUCAUGUCUGGUACACUGCCUGCUGGAGGGGGAGAACUCCUGGUGACGGUAGCUCAUACCGCCUACCAUCUGCUGUACCCCGAUGGGCUUAGCUGGUGGGUGGGGUAACGGCCCACCAAGGCGACCAUCCCUAGCUGGUCUGAGAGGAUGACCAGACACACUGGAACUGAGACACGGUCCAGACUCCUACGGGAGGCAGCAGUGGGGAAUAUUGCACAAUGGGCGCAAGCCUGAUGCAGCCAUGCCGCGUGUGGGAAGAAGGCCUUCGGGUUGUAAAGCACUUUCAGUGGGGAGGCGUUACCCGCAGAAGAAGCACCGGCUAACUCCGUGCCAGCAGCCGCGGUAAUAC